GAUGAAGAACGUAGCGAAAUGUGAUACUUGGUGUGAAUUGCAGAAUCCCGUGAACCAUCGAGUCUUUGAACGCAAGUUGCGCCCGAAGCCAUUAGGCCGAGGGCACGCCUGCCUGGGCGUCACACGUCGUUGCCCCCCCAUCUACUCCUUCGGGAUUGCGGGGGGCGGAUGAUGGCCUCCCGUGCGCCUCGUCGCGCGGUUGGCAUAAAUGCCAAGUCCUCGGCGACACACGCCACGACAAUCGGUGGUUGCGAAACCUCGGUUGCCCGUCGUGUGCGGUCGUCGCGCAUCGAGGGCUCGAAAAAAUUGCCGGGCUCCGGCUCGGCUUUCAACGCGACCCCAGGUCAGGCGGGGUUACCCGCUGAAUUUAAGCAUAUCAAUAAGCGGAGGA
rnacentral:misc_RNA from 1 species